AUGUUAAAAUACAGGUGCUCAUAUGAUCACUGAAGUUAAGCAACGUUGAUCCUGGUCAGUACCUAGAUGGGUGACUGCUUAGGAAUACCAGAUACUGUAAG